GGGGUAGCCGGUCCGCCUUGCAAAAGGUGCGCACUGAGCGGCCUCGGCCAUCCUUGGGAAGAGCGGUCCUGGCAUUUAGUUGUCGGGGUCGGGAUUCCCGACGUUUACUGUGAAAAAAUCAGAGUGUUCAACGCAGGCUUACGCCUUGAAUACAUUAGCAUGGAAUAAUGAGAUAGGACCUUGGCGGUCUAUUUUGUUGGUUUGCACGCCGAGGUAAUGAUUAAAAGGGACGGUUGGGGUUCUUCGUAUUCAAUUGUCAGAGGUGAAAUUCUUGGAUUUAUGGAAGACGAACUGCUGCGAAAGCGUCGAACAAGGACGUUCUCAUUAAUCAAGAACGAAAGUUAGGGGAUCGAAGAUGAUUAGAUACCAUCGUAGUCUUAACCAUAAACUAUGCCGAUUCAGGAUUGGCGGUCGUUUGUUCUCGACUCCGUCAGCACUGUAUGAGAAAUCAAAAUCUUUGGGUUCCGGGGGGAGUAUGGUCGCAAGGCUGAAACUUAAAGAAAUUGACGGAAGGGCACCACCCAGGAGUGGAGCCUGCGGCUUAAUUUGACUUCAACACGGGGAAACUUACCAGG
rnacentral:rRNA from 1 species